GAGGGGGAGAGAGAGGGAGGCGAUCAAUUCAGGAGAGAGAGGGAGGUAGAGAGACGGUGCGAGAGAAAGAGAGGGAGAGAGAGAGAAGAGAAGGUUCGGUCCAGGAAAAAGGGUUUGGGCAGAGAGGGUGGAGCGUUCGGUUUAGGAGGGUAGAAAGAAUAGUAAAGAGGAGGAGAGAGAGAGAGAGAGAGAGAGAGAGAGAGAGAAAGCGAGGGAGAGAGAGGGGCGGACGGUUCAGGGAGAAGGGUUUGGGGAUAGAGAGUGGGAA
rnacentral:lncRNA from 1 species